rnacentral:rRNA from 1 species
UACUCGAGUGGCGAACGGGUGAGUAACACGUGGGUGAUCUGCCCUGCACUUCGGGAUAAGCUUGGGAAACGUGGGUCUAAUACCGGAUAGGAACCAUCUUUAGUGUGGUGGUUGGAAAGUUUUUUCGGUGUAGGAUGAGCUCGCGGCCUAUCAGCUUGUUGGUGGGGUAAUGGCCUACCAAGGCGGCGACGGGUAGCCGGCCUGAGAGGGUGUACGGCCACAUUGGGACUGAGAUACGGCCCAG